CGGCAAGUGGGCCGGGGUAGCUCAGGCCGAUGCGGGUUCCGAUUCCUUGACCUCCGGUUCGGUUCCGGCUCCCCGC
rnacentral:tRNA from 1 species